rnacentral:rRNA from 1 species
AAAGAUUAAGCCAUGCAUGUCUAAGUAUAAGCAAUUAUACCGUGAAACUGCGAAUGGCUCAUUAAAUCAGUUAUCGUUUAUUUGAUAGUACCUUACUACUUGGAUAACCGUGGUAAUUCUAGAGCUAAUACAUGCUGAAAACCCCAACUUCGGGAGGGGUGUAUUUAUUAGAUAAAAAACCAACGCCCUUCGGGGCUUCUUGGUGAUUCAUGAUAACUUUGCGGAUCGCAUGGCCUUGCGCCGGCGACGGUUCAUUCAAAUUUCUGCCCUAUCAACUUUCGAUGGUAAGGUAUUGGCUUACCAUGGUUUCAACGGGUAACGGGGAAU